CUUAUAUAUUAUCGAUGGCAUAUAUGAUAAAAUUGAGAAAGGAAAUGGGGAAUGUGUCAAAGCGACAACAACCCGACCAUAGAGCAGACAACAGCCGAAGGCCACCAAUGGGUCUUCAAUGUAGCGAGAAACUCCCGCAACCGGAGGCGUCCUUCAGCUAGCCCUUUAAAAAAUAUGUAUACUAGUAUAGUGAUAAUGGACGUCAUACUAAACUCCGAAUUGUACACAAGAAACUAAAAUUAAAAUCAUACAAGACUAACAAAGGCCAGAGGCUCCUGACUUGGGAUAGGCGCGAAAUUGCGGCGGGGUUAAGCAUGUUUAUGAGAUCUCAACCCUCCCCCCUAAUAAACGCAUAACAAUACGCACAUUAAAAUUCAGUUCAAGAGAAGUCAGAAUCCGAUGUGAGAAGAUGUAACAAAAGAAAAUAAAUAAAAUGACAUGAGAAUGAUAAUUAGAAAUAAAAACCCUUAUAUUUUUCUUU
rnacentral:lncRNA from 1 species